GGAGGCGGCCGGACGGUCGCGGGCGCAUCGGUCGAAAGGCCGCGUCCGAGGAAAGUCCGAGCUCCUCAGAGCAGGCUAGCGGGUAACGCCCGUCCGCCGUGAGGCGAGGACCAGCGCCACAGUGACGAUUCCCGCCGGUUCGCCGGCGGGAGUGAAACGCGGCAAGCUCUAGCCGGAGCAAGACCGAAUAGGGGAGCGAAAGGCGGCCUCCGGGCCGCAGCAGGUGGCUCGCUCAGCUCCCGGGUAGGUCGCAGAGAUGGAUGGCCGUCCAUGAGCCCGAUGCGAAUCGGUCUCGGGACAGAACUCGGCUUAUAGGCCGCCCUCCAGG
rnacentral:RNase_P_RNA from 1 species